rnacentral:rRNA from 1 species
UACAGAGGGUGCGAGCGUUGUCCGGAAUCACUGGGCGUAAAGGGCGCGUAGGUGGCUCGCUAAGCGUGCGGUGAAAGCCCGGGGCUCAACCCCGGGUCGGCCGUGCGAACUGGUGAGCUCGAGCACUGUAGAGGCGGGUGGAAUUCCGGGUGUAGCGGUGGAAUGCGUAGAGAUCCGGAAGAACACCGGUGGCGAAGGCGGCCCGCUGGGCAGUGGCUGACACUGAGGCGCGACAGCGUGGGGAGCAAACAGG